rnacentral:rRNA from 1 species
UACGGAGGGGACUAGCGUUGUUCGGAAUUACUGGGCGUAAAGCGCACGUAGGCGGCUUGGUAUGUCGGGUGUGAAAUCCCCGGGCUCAACCUGGGAACUGCGUUUGUGACUGUAUGACUAGAGUACGGUAGAGAGGGGUGGAAUUCCUGGUGUAGCAGUGAAAUGCGUAGAGAUCCGGAAGAACACCGGUGGCGAAGGCGGCCUGCUGGGCAGUUUAGCUGACACUGAGGCGCGACAGCGUGGGGAGCAAACAGG